UACGUAGGGGGCUAGCGUUGUCCGGAUUUACUGGGCGUAAAGAGCGCGCAGGCGGUCGUUCAAGUCGCGUGUGAAAGCCCCCGGCUCAACUGGGGAGGGUCACGCGAUACUGAUCGACUCGAAGGCAGGAGAGGGUAGUGGAAUUCCCGGUGUAGUGGUGAAAUGCGUAGAUAUCGGGAGGAACACCAGUGGCGAAGGCGACUACCUGGCCUGUUCUUGACGCUGAGGCGCGAAAGCUAGGGUAGCAAACGGG
rnacentral:rRNA from 1 species